UGGGGAAUAUUGCACAAUGGGCGAAAGCCUGAUGCAGCAACGCCGCGUGAGUGAUGAAGGUCUUCGGAUUGUAAAGCUCUGUCUUUUGGGACGAUAAUGACGGUACCAAAGGAGGAAGCCACGGCUAACUACGUGCCAGCAGCCGCGGUAAUACGUAGGUGGCGAGCGUUGUCCGGAUUUACUGGGCGUAAAGGGUGCGUAGGCGGAUGUUUAAGUGAGAUGUGAAAUACCCGGGCUUAACUUGGGUGCUGCAUUUCAAACUGGAUAUCUAGAGUGCAGGAGAGGAGAAUGGAAUUCCUAGUGUAGCGGUGAAAUGCGUAGAGAUUAGGAAGAACACCAGUGGCGAAGGCGAUUCUCUGGACUGUAACUGACGCUGAGGCACGAAAGCGUGGGUAGCAAACAGGAUUAGAUACCCUGGUAGUCCACGCCGUAAACGAUGAGUACU
rnacentral:rRNA from 1 species